GUGAGGAAUAUUGCGCAAUGGAGGCAACUCUGACGCAGCCAUGCCGCGUGCAGGAAGAAGGCGCUACGCGUUGUAAACUGCUUUUAACCGGGAAGAAACCCCAGGACGUGUCCUGGGUUGACGGUACCGGAGGAAUAAGCACCGGCUAACUUCGUGCCAGCAGCCGCGGUAAUACGAAGGGUGCAAGCGUUAUCCGGAUUCAUUGGGUUUAAAGGGUGCGUAGGCGGAGCGUUAAGUCAGUGGUGAAAUCCUGCAGCUUAACUGUAGACUUGCCAUUGAUACUGGAGCUCUUGAGUGCGCUUGAAGUGGGCGGAAUGUGCCGUGUAGCGGUGAAAUGCUUAGAUAUGGCACAGAACACCAAUUGCGAAGGCAGCUCACUAAGGCGAUACUGACGCUGAGGCACGAAAGCGUGGGGAUCGAACAGGAUUAGAAACCCCUGUAGUCC
rnacentral:rRNA from 1 species